GCCCCUAAAGCUUAGUUGGUAGAGCUUUAGCCUAGAUAGCGAAAGGCCCCCAGUUCAAGCCUGGGUGGGGUCA
rnacentral:tRNA from 1 species